rnacentral:tRNA from 1 species
UCCCUGGAGGAAUAGUGGUUAGGCCACAGCACUCUCACCGCUGCAACCCUGGUACGAUUCCUGGCCUGGGAA